UUUUAUAACUGUUGUCUGUGGAAAGACAUGGGAACCUCAAUAGGAAGAUAGAAACUGUUGGCUACAGGACCACAGAUUAAGAAAGAAGAAUUAUGAUUUCAGUCACAUUCCCAUUUGCCUCCAAGAGGGAAGAAACCUACAGCCCUAAGCCACAUUGAAAAGACAAUUACAAUUUUGUUUUACUACUUCAGAGCUGCCAAACAGUGCCACAACAACAACCAUUAAUUCAUCCUUCUAUCCAGCUUUUGUAUUUUGGCAAAACCAAUGCAGCAUUCAAGCAGAGGAAAACUCUUGGGGACACAGUAUGCCUUUGCAAAGGCACACACCAGAAAGAAGACCACACAAGGAAAGGAAAGUGGAACAGACUCAACAGAUUCCUUAAACCUUUCUACUAAGACUACCAGGUGUACAGGUGCUCACUGCAUCCAUGCCAAGCAUCCAAACUUCAUGCAUCCCUGCUCUCUCCACAGGGAAGAGUGGCUCACAAACAUAUCUUAUAAUACCAAAAUAUCAGACUGCAUGUACAACACCACUUAAACACCAUAUAAUUGCCACUAACACAGCAAAGCCUGAACUUCUCACUCUAUUAAAAUCUUA